rnacentral:rRNA from 1 species
AUGCGGCCCUACAGGUUACCUCCUCUUCUGAAAACAGAGCUCGAGAAGCAAAUUAAGGAGAUGCUUGCUAGUGGUGUCAUCCGCCUGAGCAACGGCCCUUUUUCUUCAGCACUCCUUAUGGUCAAGAAGAAGGACGAAUCUUGGCGUCCUGUGAUUGAUUAUCACCACCUUAAUGCAAUGACGCAGAAGAGCAAGUUUCCAAUUCCUGUGAUUGACGAGCUUUUGGAUGAACUCGCACGUGCCAGUUGGUUUACUAAACUUGACUUGCGCUCUGGUUACCAUCAGAUCCGCUUAGCACCUGGGGAGGAAUACAAAACAACGUUUCAGAUGCAUUUGGGUCAUUAUGAGUUCACGGUUCUCUCAUAUGGAUUGAUGGGUGGACCAAACACCUUCCAAUUUGGCAUGAAUCAUACUCUGGAACCUGGCAAUCGCAAGUACGUGAUUGUUUUCUUUGAUGACAUACUUGUUUUCAGCUUCUCCUUCGAGGAUCACCUAAUCCAUCUGCGCCUGGUACUCAAGAUGUUGUCUGAACAUCAGUGGCGUGUUAAGCUGUCAAAAUGUGCAUUUGCACAACGUCAGGUUGGAUACUUGGGACACAUCAUUAGCGAGCAGGGGGUCUCCACCGACCCGGAUAAAAUUUCAGCUAUUCAAACUUGGCCUACUCCAACCAAUGUCAAGGAAGUCCGUGGAUUCCUAGGACUGGCAGGAUAUUACAGAAAAUUCAUCCGUCACUAUGGUAUCACUUGUCGUUCGCUGACAGUUGUGCUUAAAAAAGGGGUAAUCUUCCGCUGGACUGAGGUUGAGGAACAAGCCUUUCAGUAUCUGAAACAAGCCCUGAUGUCUGCCCCGGUCCUCGCACUGCCAAAUUUUAGUAAAACCUUUGUGAUUGCCAUUGACGCCUGUGAUGUGGGGAUAGGUGAUGUCCUCAUGCAGGAUGGUCAUCCAUUGGCCUAUGUUAUCAAGGCUCUGGGACCACGAAACCGAUCCCUCUCUAUGUAUGAAAAGGAAUUCUUACCGAUAUUGCUAGCCGUGGAGCAUUGGCGUCAGUACUUGCUGCUAAAUGAAUUCAUCAUACAGACUGACCAGCGCAGUUUAACCAGUUUGGCUGAUCAAUGUCUCAAUACUGAAUGGCAGCAAAAGGCUCUCACAAAACUAAUGGGGCUCCGUUAUCAAAUUCAGUAUAAGAAGGGCACUGAAAAUAAUGCAGCCGAUGCUUUGUCCCGUCGCCCCCAUGAUACAGUGGAACUGCAGGUCGUGACUGCAGUGCAACCAGCUUGGUUUUCUGACAUUGCUGCUAGCUAUCAAGUGGAUCAAUUCUCUCAACAACUUCUACAGAAACUAGCUGCCGCCCCUUCAUCCGACAGUAAAUUUUCUCUUAAAAAUGGGCUGAUUUGCACUAAGGGAUGUCUCUGGGUGGGUGCAGAUGCUGGUUUGCACUCUAAAAUCAUCCAAGCUUUUCAUGAUUCUCCAUUGGGUGGGCACUCAGGUUUCCCUGUCACAUAUCGACGUAUUCGUCAGCUCUUUCGUUGGUCUCAUAUGAAAUCCAUCGUCAAGCAGUAUCUGCAGCAUUGCACUGUUUGUCAGCAAGCUAAACCCAAGCGAGUUCCGUAUCCUGGCCUUUUGCAACCCUUACCAAUACCAAGUCUAUCAUGGGAAAUGGUCAUAAUGGAUUUUAUAGAAGGCUUGCCAUCUUCAGGGCGUUUCAAUUGCAUCCUAGUGGUCAUUGAUAAGCUAUCAAAAUAUGGUCACUUCAUACCCUUAGUGCAGGUCGUGGCAGAGGCUUUUCUGAAUUUUGUCUACAAGCUGCAUGGUAUACCCUUGUCCAUUGUCUCUGACCGUGACCGCAUUUUCACCAGUUUGUUUUGGAAAGAGCUGUUCCAACGAACACAAGGGACACAACUGCGAAUGAGCUCAGCCCGCCACCCACAAUCAGAUGGUCAAACCGAACGUGUAAAUCAGCAAGUGGAGUGCUACCUUAGGUGCUUUGUCAGUGCACAUCCCUCCAAAUGGGCAAAAUGGCUACCUUUGUGUGAAUACUGGUAUAAUACAAACUGGCAUUCAGCUACAUCGAAGACUCCGUUUGAGAUCAUCUACGGGCAUCUGCCUCGUCACUUUGGGAUAACCCCUGACUGCACAGUGGCUUCUCCUGAUUUAGCUCUUUGGCUUGACCAACAGCAAGUUAUUUUUGAAUCAGUGAAACAGCAAUUGCUUCGCACUCAACAACGCAUGAAGGCUCAAGCUGAUAAAAAUAGAACAGAGAGAACAUUUGAGGUGGGUGGCCAAGUUUUUCUCAAGCUUCAGCCAUAUCUUCAGUCUUCAGUCGUGCCUCGGGCCAAUCACAAACUGGCCUACAAAUUCUUUGGUCCGUUCUCCAUACUGGAGAAAGUGGGCGAGGUGGCGUAUAAAUUGGAUCUUCCUACUUCUAGCAAGGUACAACCUGUUUUCCAUGUUUCUCUGCUUCUCAAGGUUCUCAAAAAUGAUGAUCAAGUGUUGGCUCGGCUUCCCUCUACUGACGACAACUUGCGAGUACCUGAGAAAGUUCUCCAACAACGGGUGGUUCUUCGUGGAGGCAAGAAAAUUCUCCAAGUGUUAUUGCAGUGGUCUGGUGAUUCUGAAGAUCUUGCUGUUUGGGAAGACCUGGAUGAGCUCAAGCAGCGAUUCUCUCGCGCAUCGGCUUGGGGACAAGCCGAAUCUCCACAGGGGGGGAUUGUCAGCGACAGAGCACAGGAAGAGCAUCAAAGGCCCAGCCCAAGACCCAAACGCAAGCCUCUACUUCCGUCUCGGCUUGCAGGCCUAGGAUGGGCCCUUGGCCUUGUAACGAUAUAA